AACUUUCAACAACGGAUCUCUUGGCUCUCGCAUCGAUGAARAACGCAGCGAAAUGUGAUAAGUAAUGGAAUUGCARAAUUCAGUGAAUCAUCGAAUCUUUGAACGCAUCUUGSGCUCGCUGGUAUUCCGGCGAGCAUGUCUGUUUGAGUGUCGUGA
rnacentral:rRNA from 1 species